rnacentral:rRNA from 1 species
UGGGGAAUAUUGCACAAUGGGCGAAAGCCUGAUGCAGCAACGCCGCGUGAGUGAAGAAGGCCUUCGGGUUGUAAAGCUCUGUCUUUUGGGACGAUAAUGACGGUACCAAAGGAGGAAGCCACGGCUAACUACGUGCCAGCAGCCGCGGUAAUACGUAGGUGGCAAGCGUUGUCCGGAUUUACUGGGCGUAAAGGAUGCGUAGGUGGAUAUUUAAGUGGGAUGUGAAAUACCCGGGCUCAACUUGGGUGCUGCAUUCCAAACUGGAUAUCUAGAGUGCAGGAGAGGAAAGUGGAAUUCCUAGUGUAGCAGUGAAAUGCGUAGAUAUUAGGAGGAACACCAGUGGCGAAGGCGGCUUUCUGGACUGUAACUGACACUGAGGCAUGAAAGCGUGGGGAGCAAACAGG